GAACAUGGCCAUUGAAAAUCAUCCAGAAGGGGUAUUCUUACAGCCUAAAACCAAUAAUCCAUUCAGGGUGGAAGACUACCCGAUGGUUAUACCCUUCUUGGACCUUAAAAAAUUAGCAUCGCAUCGUUAUGGACAUGUAAUUUCAAGAAUGAGAGUAUAUACCGGGGGCACCUCUGAAGAAAGAUGAUCACAAAAUUCAUACACCAUACAUUAACAUCUCAGGUCAAAAGAUAAGCUAUGACUGUGCUAUUUAUGUAAUGAAAUAGCUUGAGAUAAUUCAG